rnacentral:rRNA from 1 species
AGUGAAUAGAUACCCAGGUAGUCCUAGCCGUAAACGAUACUCGCUAGGUGUCGGCCACGGUGCGACCGUUGUCGGUGCCGUAGGGAAAGCCGUGAAGCGAGCCACCUGGGAAGUACGGCCGCAAGGCUGAAACUUAAAGGAAUUGGCGGGGGAGCACCACAACGGGUGGAGCUUGCGGUUUAAAUUGGAUUCAACGCCGGAAAUCUUACCGGGACCGACAGCAAUAUGAAGGCCAGGCUGAAGACUUUGCCGGAUUAGCUGAGAGGUGGUGCAUGGCCGUCGUCAGUUCGUACUGUGAAGCAUCCUGUUAAGUCAGGCAACGAGCGAGACCCACGCCCACAGUUGCCAGCGUACUCUCCGGAGUGACGGGUACACUGUGGGGACCGCCGCUGCUAAAGCGGAGGAAGGAAUGGGCAACGGUAGGUCAGUAUGCCCCGAAUAUCCCGGGCUACACGCGAGCUACAAUGGUUGGUACAAUGGGUAUCUACCCCGAAAGGGGAUGGUAAUCUCCUAAAGCCAAUCUUAGUUCGGAUUGAGGGCU